rnacentral:rRNA from 1 species
AGCCUGAUGCAGCCAUGCCGCGUGAAUGAUGAAGGCCUUAGGGUUGUAAAAUUCUUUCGCUAGGGAUGAUAAUGACAGUACCUAGUAAAGAAGCCCCGGCUAACUUCGUGCCAGCAGCCGCGGUAAUACGAAGGGGGCUAGCGUUGUUCGGAAUUACUGGGCGUAAAGCGCACGUAGGCGGACUUUUAAGUCAGAUGUGAAAUCCCGGGGCUCAACCUCGGAACUGCAUUUGAAACUGGAAGUCUAGAGACCAGGAGAGGUUAGCGGAAUACCGAGUGUAGAGGUGAAAUUCGUAGAUAUUCGGUGGAACACCAGUGGCGAAGGCGGCUAACUGGACUGGUACUGACGCUGAGGUGCGAAAGUGUGGGGAGCAAACAGGAUUAGAUACCCUGGUAGUCCACACCGUAAACGAUGACAGCUAGUUGUUGGCAGGCAUGCCUGUCGGUGACGCAGCUAACGCAUUAAGCUCUCCGCCUG